rnacentral:rRNA from 1 species
UUAAGCAGCCAUAUCACCCUGCAACUCUCAUCUGAAGCUAAGCAGGUGUGAGCCUGAUGAGUAGCUGGAUGGGAGACCUCCUGGGAAAAGCUAAGGUUGCUGCUGGAA